rnacentral:lncRNA from 1 species
CUGCAGAAGCCUCCAAAAUCUCCCGUGCGUCCUCGCAACCGACACCGCCAAAGUCACCGAUGCAGGCUUUGAAUUCUCGACCUGUGCAUCCCUGCUGACGUCGAAGCCACCUGUGAACAGAUGCGGAAUCCACGCACAUGUGUCUCACCUCCAGCCGCUCCGAAACCACCCACUGGCCAAUCUGGACCCUAGCAGCCCCGAAGUUGCCUGUAAGAAGCUCCCAAGUCUCUUCAUCCCACUCUCCCAUCUCC